UGAGGAAUAUUGGUCAAUGGACGCGAGUCUGAACCAACCAAGUAGCGUGAAGGAUGACUGCCCUAUGGGUUGUAAACUUCUUUUAUAUGGGAAUAAAGUGGUCCACGUGUGGAUUUUUGUAUGUACCAUAUGAAAUAAGGAUCGGCUAACUCCGUGCCAGCAGCCCGCGGUAAUACGGAGGAUGCGAGCGUUAUCCGGAUUUAUUGGGUUUAAAGGGAGCGUAGGCGGAUUGUUAAGUCAGUUGUGAAAGUUUGCGGCUCAACCGUAAAAUUGCAGUUGAUACUGGCAGUCUUGAGUGCAGUAGAGGUGGGCGGAAUUCGUGGUGUAGCGGUGAAAUGCUUAGAUAUCACGAAGAACUCCGAUUGCGAAGGCAGCUCACUGGAGUGUAACUGACGCUGAUGCUCGAAAGUGUGGGUAUCAAACAGGAUUAGAUACCCUGGUAGUCCACACAGUAAACGAUGAAUACUCGCUGUUUGCGAUAUACAGUAAGCGGCCAAGCGAAAGCAUUAAGUAUUCCACCUGGGGAGUACGCCGGCAACGGUGAAACUCAAAGGAAUUGACGGGGGCCCGCACAAGCGGAGGAACAUGUGGUUUAAUUCGAUGAUACGCGAGGAACCUUACCCGGGCUUAAAUUGCAAAUGAAUUAUGGGGAAACCCAUACGCCGCAAGGCAUUUGUGAAGGUGCUGCAUGGUUGUCGUCAGCUCGUGCCGUGAGGUGUCGGCUUAAGUGCCAUAACGAGCGCAACCCUUAUCUUCAGUUACUAACAGGUCAUGCUGAGGACUCUGGAGAGACUGCCGUCGUAAGAUGUGAGGAAGGUGGGGAUGACGUCAAAUCAGCACGGCCCUUACGUCCGGGGCUACACACGUGUUACAAUGGGGGGUACAGAAGGCCGCUACCUGGUGACAGGAUGCCAAUCCCAAAAACCUCUCUCAGUUCGGACUGAAGUCUGCAACCCGACUCCACGAAGCUGGAUUCGCUAGUAAUCGCGCAUCAGCCACGGCGCGGUGAAUACGUUCCC
rnacentral:rRNA from 1 species